rnacentral:rRNA from 1 species
AGAUGUGGGUUAGUCCGCACGAGCGCACCCUAUCCUAUGUUGCCAGCAAGUAAUGUUGGGGACUCAUGGGAGACUGCCGGUGAUAAACCGGAGGAAGGUGGGGAUGACGUCAAGUCAUCAUGCCCCUUAUGUCCAGGGNCUGCACGCACGCUACAAUGGCAAGUACAACGAGUCGCAAUAUCGCAAGGUGGAGCAAAUCUCUUAAAGCUUGUCUCAGUUCGGAUAGGAGUCUGCAACUCGACUCCUUGAAGUUGGAGUCGCUAGUAAUCGCAAAUCAGCAAAGUUGCGGUGAAUACGUUCUCGGGGUUUGUACACACCGCCCGUCAAGUCACGGAAGUCGGCAAUACCCGAAGCCUGUGGUCCAACCCUUUUGGGAGGAAGCAGUCGAAGGUAGGGUCGGUAACUGGGACUAAGUCGUAACAAGGUAGCCGUACGGGAACGUGCGGCUGGAUCACCUCCUUUCU